GCCCAGUGUAGCUCAGUUGGUAGAGCACUCGACCGAUAAUCGAGUUGUCGCGGGUUCAAGUCCCGCCACUGGCACCA
rnacentral:tRNA from 1 species